GGUCGACUGUUUGCUGUACUUUGACCACUGACACCCCAGCGAGUCCAACUAAAAGAGGUCAAAGCUCCACAGAAAGUGAAGUGGAAUCAAACAGUCAAGAAAGCAUUCUGGGUAAGUAUCCUUUUCUAGUUGUCUUUUCUCACACAUGAAAACAGAGCUGUGCACAUUUUCUUAGAAGAACAAGAGCUGAUGACCUCUCCCAAUGUCAUCAUGUCACCAAAUAGUGGGGCAAUUAUGGCAGGCAGCCGUGGGUGUGGCUUCUGGAGUGGGUGUGUUCCUGGUAGGGUUGACAGCUGUCUGUCUCUGCAGGAGGACCAAGAAAACCAAUUCUCAGAGACCUACAUCCAGACAGGAUGAUCACAGACAAUGUAUGUUCCUAACAAAAUACAUCAAACAUACACACACAUACGACAGAACUAUAUAAUCACAUGUACAAACACUGUAAUUAAAUUUUCAUUGUGUUUCUGUUGUAGAUGAUUUGGUGUCUAUGGGAGCGGUGAGCAGCAGAGUCAUGGUGAUUAUUCUACAUUACAGUGGAAUCUGUACACAUGUACCCUCUGACAGAGGAGGCUGGCGGGAUGAGUUAUAGGAGGACAGGCUCAUUGUAAAGGCUGGAAUGGAAUUAAUGGGACGAAGUCAAACACAUUGAAACUACAUGUUUGACUCCAUUCCAUUAAUUCCAUUUCAACAAUUACAAUGAGCCCGUCCUCCUAUAACUCCUCUCACCAGCAUCCUCUGCCCUCUGACUGUCUGAUCUGAGGAUCAAGACCUUAAUGUUACAUUAGUAGUGCUUCAACAUAUGAAUGUUCAAAGUAUCAAACUAACAGCUGUAUUUAUAUGUCAAUAU
rnacentral:lncRNA from 1 species